UACGUAGGGUGCGAGCGUUGUCCGGAAUUAUUGGGCGUAAAGAGCUCGUAGGCGGUCUGUCGCGUCGGAUGUGAAAACUCGGGGCUCAACCCCGAGCCUGCGUUCGAUACUGGACGGCUAGAGUCUGGUAGGGGGAUCUGGAAUUCCUGGUGUAGCGGUGGAAUGCGCAGAUAUCAGGAGGAACACCGGUGGCGAAGGCGGGAUCCUGGGCCAGUACUGACGCUGAGGAGCGAAAGCGUGGGGAGCAAACAGG
rnacentral:rRNA from 1 species